GAAUUAUUGGGCGUAAAGAGCUCGUAGGCGGUUUGUCGCGUCUGGUGUGAAAACUCAAGGCUCAACCUUUGAGCUUGCAUCGGGUACGGGCAGACUAGAGUGUGGUAGGGGGUGACUGGAAUUCCUGGUGUAGCCGUGGAAUGCGCAGAUAUCAGGAGGAACACCGAUGGCGAAGGCAGGUCACUGGCCCACUACUGACGCUGAGGAGCGAAAGCAUGGGGAGCGAACAGGAUUAGAUACCCUGGUAGUCCAUGCCGUAAACGUUGGGCACUAGGUGUGGGGCUCAUUCCACGAGUUCCGCGCCGCAGCUAACGCAUUAAGUGCCCCGCCUGGGGAGUACGGCCGCAAGGCUAAAACUCAAAGGAAUUGACGGGGGCCCGCACAAGCGGCGGAGCAUGCGGAUUAAUUCGAUGCAACGCGAAGAACCUUACCAAGGCUUGACAUACACCGGAAUCGGCCAGAGAUGGUCGCGUCUUCGGACUGGUGUACAGGUGGUGCAUGGUUGUCGUCAGCUCGUGUCGUGAGAUGUUGGGUUAAGUCCCGCAACGAGCGCAACCCUCGUCCUAUGUUGCCAGCACGUCAUGGUGGGGACUCAUAGGAGACUGCCGGGGUCAACUCGGAGGAAGGCGGGGACGACG
rnacentral:rRNA from 1 species